UGAAUUAAAGAAUUAAAUGGAUGAAAUAUGAAGUUUUAUUAAAAGAAAAAGGGGUGAAAAGAACAAAGUUUUGUCCAUCUUUGUUCAUCAUAGCUGAAAGUUAGAGAAGAGAAAGGAGAGGAGAAAGCUCUUGAGUAUUCGGUCAUUAGGAGGAGGAAAAUUAAAGGCGGUUCGUGUGUGGAUCUCGUGAGCAUAUCGUCGCAAACAGGAAAUCCCCAACCAUAGUGGGCUUGGAGCUGUGAGGGAAUUCGGAGUGGCCACCCGUUCUGAAAGUUUGAUUUUCUUCUGGUGAACUGGACAUCCUUUUAUUUACGUUUCAAGUUUUUGGGCUUUUAAAUGUAAUAAGGCCGCUUAAUUAUUUUUAUGGUUUUACUAUGUAUUACUAAGAUAGGUAAUACUUAUAUUUAACUGUUGAAAUUAGAUAGCUUUAGGGCGCGUUUUCAAAAACAACAA